rnacentral:rRNA from 1 species
AUCAACGCUGGCGGCGUGCCUAACACAUGCAAGUCGAACGAGAAAUUGGGAGCAAUCCUGAGAGUACAGUGGCAGACGGGUGAGUAACACGUGAACAACCUACCCUUGAGAGGGGAAUAACAUCUCGAAAGAGGUGCUAAAACCGCAUAAAAUCUAGUUAUCGCAUGGUAAUGAGAUCAAAAUCGCAAGGUACUUGAGGAGGGGUUCGCGUCUGAUUAGCUAGUUGGAGAGGUAACGGCUCCCCAAGGCGACGAUCAGUAGCCGGCCUGAGAGGGUGGACGGCCACACUGGAACUGAGAGACGGUCCAGACUCCUACGGGAGGCAGCAGUGGGGAAUUUUGCGCAAUGGGCGGAAGCCUGACGCAGCAACGCCGCGUGGAGGAUGAAGGUAUUCGUACCGUAAACUCCUGUCGGAGGGGACGAAGGAAGUGACUGUACCCUUUGAGGAAGCCACGGCUAACUCCGUGCCAGCAGCCGCGGUAAUACGGGGGUGGCAAGCGUUGUUCGGAAUUAUUGGGCGUAAAGGGCGCGUAGGCGGCUAUACAAGUUAGAUGUGAAAGCCCCGGGCUUAACCUGGGAACUGCAACUAAUACUGUGUAGCUUGAGUUUUGGAGGGGGCAGUGGAAUUCCCAGUGUAGCGGUGAAAUGCGUAGAUAUUGGGAGGAACACCGGCGGCGAAGGCGGCUGCCUGGACAGGAACUGACGCUGAGGCGCGAAGGCCAGGGGAGCGAACGGGAUUAGAUACCCCGGUAGUCCUGGCGGUAAACGAUGGGCACUUGGUGUUGGGGGUAUUGAGUCCCUCAGUGCCGUAGCAAACGCGAUAAGUGCCCCGCCUGGGGAGUACGGUCGCAAGACUGAAACUCAAAGGAAUUGACGGGGGCCCGCACAAGCGGUGGAGCAUGUGGUUUAAUUCGACGCAACGCGAAGAACCUUACCGGGGCUCGAACGGUACUUGAAGGCAUGUAGAAAUAUGUGAAUCUCUUCGGAGACGGGUAUCGAGGUGCUGCAUGGCUGUCGUCAGCUCGUGUCGUGAGAUGUUGGGUUAAGUCCCGCAACGAGCGCAACCCCUGCCUUUAGUUGCCAGCAUGUAGAGAUGGGCACUCUAAAGGAACUGUCGGCGAAAAGCCGGAGGAAGGUGGGGAUGACGUCAAGUCCUCAUGGCCCUUACGUCCCGGGCUACACACGUGCUACAAUGGUGGAUACAAGGGGAAGCGAAGUUGUGAGAUGGAGCUAAUCCCAGAAAGUCUAUCCCAGUUCGGAUUGCAGUCUGCAACUCGAGUGCAUGAAGUUGGAAUCGCUAGUAAUCGCGGAUCAGCAUGCCGCGGUGAAUACGUUCCUGGGCCUUGUACACACCGCCCGUCACAUCACGAAAGUGGGUUGUACUAGAAAUCGCCGGGCUGACCUGAGAAGGGGGCAAGCGCUUAAGGUAUGAUUCAUGAUUGGGGUG